AAUAGUAAAAGUAAGAUUUUGUGAGUUAUAUUUGUGUCACGCUUCUGCAUGCAUGCCCUGCAAGUGGUAUCAAAGCAAGGUCGAAUACCCUACAGAUCCUUGCGCGAUUGAACUGCAGCUCAUGUAUGAUUUGCUUCUAUUUCUCUGUGCUUCUAGCGGAAGUUGAGGCUUACAGCAAUUGUCCACACCCUUAAACCUGCAGGUGUGUCGAUAAGGACAUCGCCACGAGGCAAGAGAAGCCAUACUUGAUCGGUUCUUGACGUGCGAAGAUGUUGCUUAGGAGCAGCUAAGUCGCACGCUGCAUUGCUUCCAUCUUAUUGCCAUUUGUAUAUUUAAAGAAAGGACGGAGAAGAGAAAUACGAAACUGACUAUGGGUCUCCUGUUCUGGAGUUGAAUUGACCUGCUAUCGUGUUGCUGUGGUGGAACAGGUUUCAUGGUAUGGUGGCUACUGUGCAUAGCACAGCGGCAUUAUGAUCUCGUGGUGUCUCAGUAUAACCCUUCAUUUUGCAAUUUCACAUUACACGACGAGUUGAAUUGUAUUGUUGGCGGGUCUCAGCAAAGUCAUGCAUUGCCUUUUUUUUGUCCUACAAAGUUUCUAAACUGUUGUUUUCUGUGCAGCAUAGAAUUCUCUUUCUAAGUUGCCUUGGUUCUUUUUCUUUGGUGUGCCAUAUUGAUACAGAAUAAUCUAGUUAUUUAUUUAUUUAUUUAUUUCUGUUUUCAUGCCAAGCAGAGGCCAGUGAUGAUCUUAUGGUUUUGCCUACAUCGCCUGACUAUAUAUAUGAUAAUGCUAUGGACCUUUCUGAGGCCUCUUGGCUAAGAUACAUUUUGGUUUGAUUUGGUUUAAAUCCAUUUGGUUUUUUCUCUAUAAAGUUGUUAAAACCCUUUUCUUUUGUAGCACAGAGUUCUCUUUCUACGUUGGCUUGGUUCGUUUUCUUUGGUGUCCCAUAUCGAUAUGGAUAAUCCAGUUUUGUAUGAUUUCUCGGAGGCCUGUGAUGAUCUCAUUAUAGUCUUGCCUACAUUGCCUGACUAUAAGCAUGAUUAUGUUAUUGACUUUUCUGAGGCUCUCUAUCUUUUGGUUUGAUUGCUUAACGAAUUAUGAGCAACAGCUUGGUUUAAUUGCGGCCAUUGCCUUUACUAUUCAAAUUUUCUUGGAACUGUGCUUAUCUUUACUUCCUGUUUAUUUAGGUUAUAUUUUUACUAGACAACGUCUUUGUAGCUUGUAUUUUCUACCCCUUUUGUGACCAUAGUGCAACAAUGUCCUCCUCAAGUCCUCAAGUCCUUAAGUGAACCCCACUUUUCUCAUUUCUCAUUUCUGUUUUUUUAACUUGAUUAUUGUGCUCGCCCUUUCGUAGAGCUUGAUUCAAAAUAGCUCAAGUGUAAUUUAUGAAGUAAAGUUACUCUAGAGAUGGCCAGGCUAACUUUACAAAUAUAAAUUUCAUUAAGUUGAUUUCAAAGUUCUUUCUUGGACUGUCACUCUGCUGUAGAAUCUUAUAUGGCUCCUUAGCUGCUUUGAGCUUUCUCUGAUUGUGGUUAUUUGUUAUCAAAAUGGCUCUCGUCUCCAGUCUAUGUUUUUUACUCUUUUGGAGCUUGCGGAUUGCUUUGUGAUGGGGACAUGCUUCAUGCUUGGGCACUGCCUGUGAUGCAUUUGGAUACAUUAUGUGAGUCGUGGGAGUUCUGAAAUUGUGAGUGCAGAAUGCCGAAAGAGAUACAAGAAUGGUGCAACUGGGCGAGGCCUACAGAGAUUGAUAUCUUUGGGGGUUGGGAGAAGCUUGGGAAUCAAAUGCAUUUUUGGCUUCAACUGAGCAGUAUGCUUUUCCAAUGGAUGCCUUUGGGGCAUGUGAGGUCUGGCCAGUGGCGCUGACUCUGCAUUCUUGAUUUCAGACAUCUAUAAGUUUGGGGGUCAGCAUGCUUCUCCGAAUCUGGUGUCACUCUUGACCAUCUUUGUGUUUUUCUCUUUGCAAACAAGAAGUGGAUGUGGAACUGUAAAUGCAUACACCAUGUGGUCCACCUACUUUGUUAACCUCCUCACAUAUCCUCUUGGGCAAGUCUCUUGCUGUUGCAGAAAUGGGUAGAAACUUCAGCACUAUCUUUGUUUUCGUCUCUCUGUCUCUCUCUAGGCACAAAUCAUACCAGAUUAAUACGUGUAGCCUUGACAAAGAACACUCAAAAGUCACUUUCAUUUUGUUCCAUGUCAAGAACUAAGUGAUGGGAAUAAGCAAUAAGAUGGUCAAACCUUUUGAUCUUCA